GACGAACGCUGGCGGCGUGCUUAACACAUGCAAGUCGAACGGAGUGGCGAACGGGUGAGUAACACGUGGGGGACCUGCCCUGCACUUCGGGAUAAGCCUGGGAAACUGGGUCUUAUACCGGAGAGUGUGGGCUGGGCGCUGGGCCUAUGAGCUUGUUGGUGGGGUAAUGGCCUACCAAGGCGGCGACGGGUAGCCGGCCUGCGAUGGUGGACGGCGUCAUUGGGACUGGGACACGGGCCAGAGUGCAACAGGGGGCAGCAGUGGGGAAUAUGGCGCAGUGGGGCGAAGCCUGAUGCAGCGACGCCGCGUGGGGGAUGACGGCCUUCUGGUUGUAAACUCCUUUCACCAUCGACGCGGUAGAUGGAGAAGAAGCACCGGCUAACUACGUGCCAGCAGCCGCGGUAAUUC
rnacentral:rRNA from 1 species